UCGUGGCAUGAGUCGUCAUUGUUAGUAUGUUAAUUCGGGUAACGAGCGAGACCUCCGUGGGGAUGAUUUGAUAGUUGGCGUUGACGCAUUGGUUGAUGCUCGCCCCAGACACGAACGUCGAAAAGACAUGGGAAGUGGGAGGCUAUAACA
rnacentral:rRNA from 1 species